rnacentral:lncRNA from 1 species
CCCAAUGUUCCCACUCAAGCACCUUCACCUGCUAAUCAUCCUCCAUAUAUUCCAACUCCUCCACAAACUCCUUCCCCAGUUUAUACUCCUCCUAAUUUUCCAACGCCUCCAAAAAUACCCUCUCCUGUGUACACUCCCCCAAAAGCUCCUUCCCCUAGUAACAAUCCACCCUAUGUUCCUACACCUCCAAAAACACCUUCUCCUUCUUAUAAUCCUCCUAAUGUUCCCACUCCUCCCAAAACACCUUCACCUAUUUACACUCCACCAAAUGUUCCUACUCCUCCAAAAACACCAUCUCCUGCUUAUAGUCCUCCAAAUGCUCCUUCCCCUCAUAACCAACCAAAUGUUCCUACUCCUCCAAAAACACCAUCUCCUGCUUAUAGUCCUCCAAAUGCUCCUUCCCCUCAUAACCAACCUCCCUAUGUUCCUACACCUCCAAAAACACCUUCUCCUUCUUAUAAUCCUCCUAAUGUUCCCACUCCUCCCAAAACACCUUCACCUAUUUACACUCCACCAAAUGUUCCUACUCCUCCAAAAACACCAUCUCCUGCUUAUAGUCCUCCAAAUGCUCCUUCCCCUCAUAACCAACCUCCCUAUGUUCCUACACCUCCAAAAACACCUUCUCCUUCUUAUAAUCCUCCUAAUGUUNNN